rnacentral:misc_RNA from 1 species
UACGGAGGGGGCGAGCGUUAUUCGGAAUCAUUGGGCGUAAAGAGUUCGUAGGCGGGACGCUCAGUCCGGCGUGAAAGCCCCCGGCUCAACCGGGGAGGGCCGCUGGAUACUGGCGUUCUCGAGCAGGGCAGGGGUCGGCGGAAUUCCAGGUGUAGCGGUGGAAUGCUUAGAUAUCUGGAAGAACACCGGUGGCGAAGGCGGCCGACUGGGCCCUCGCUGACGCUGAGGAACGAAAGCCAGGGGAGCGAACGGG